rnacentral:rRNA from 1 species
ACGCUGUAGCAAUACAGAGUGGCAGACGGGUGAGUAACACGUGGGAACGUACCCUUCGGUUCGGAAUAACACAGAGAAAUUUGUGCUAAUACCGAAUACGUCCGAGAGGAGAAAGAUUUAUCGCCGAAGGAUCGGCCCGCGUCUGAUUAGCUUGUUGGUGAGGUAACGGCUCACCAAGGCUACGAUCAGUAGCUGGUCUGAGAGGAUGAUCAGCCACAUUGGGACUGAGACACGGCCCAAACUCCUACGGGAGGCAGCAGUGGGGAAUAUUGGACAAUGGGCGAAAGCCUGAUCCAGCCAUGCCGCGUGAGUGAUGAAGGCCCUAGGGUUGUAAAGCUCUUUUACUCGGGAAGAUAAUGACGGUACCGAGAGAAUAAGCCCCGGCUAACUUCGUGCCAGCAGCCGCGGUAAUACGAAGGGGGCUAGCGUUGUUCGGAUUUACUGGGCGUAAAGCGCUCGUAGGCGGAUCUUUAAGUCAGGGGUGAAAUCCCGGAGCUCAACUCCGGAACUGCCUUUGAUACUGGAGAUCUCGAGUCCGGGAGAGGUGAGUGGAACUGCGAGUGUAGAGGUGAAAUUCGUAGAUAUUCGCAAGAACACCAGUGGCGAAGGCGGCUCACUGGCCCGGUACUGACGCUGAGGAGCGAAAGCGUGGGGAGCAAACGGGAUUAGAUACCCUGGUAGUCCACGCCGUAAACGAUGGAUGCUAGCCGUUAGACAGCUUGCUGUUUAGUGGCGCAGCUAACGCAUUAAGCAUCCCGCCUGGGGAGUACGGUCGCAAGAUUAAAACUCAAAGGAAUUGAC